CUUUCUAAAGCUCUGAUCAGUCAAGAAGGGGGUUGUAUCAAUCCUCAGAACCCUGAGUGGAACUUUCUACAGGAUUUAUUAGGAGAAAAACCUUCCCGGAAGCUGCAGAAGGACAAAUACAGAAUCCGUGUCUGGGAGAAACCUCGUGGCCUGGUCUCCAUUAUUUGAGAUGAGUUACAUCUUGGAGGUGAGGACGUGCCUCGUGGUCUAAAGCUUCGGCACAAGGGCCCAACUGGAAUUCCACUUACGGGCCUGAUCUUUUGGCCAGAAGGAGAUUAAAAAGAUGCCCCUCAAGAUGGCUGUGCCUGUCAGCUGCAUGGAGCUUCGUUCAAGUAUUUUCUGAGCCUGAUGGAUUUACAGUGAUCUUCAGUGGUCUGGGGAAUAACGCUGGUGGAACCAUGCACUGGAAUGACACACGCCCGGCACAUUUCAGGAUACUAAAAGUGGUUUUAAGGGAGGCUGUGGCUGAAUGCCUCAUGGAUUCUUACAGCUUGGAUGUCCAUGGGGGACGAAGGACUGCAGCUGGCUGAGAGGGUUGAGAUCUCUGUUUACUUAGAUCUCUGCCAACUUCCUUUGGGUCUCCCUAUGGAAUGUAAGACCCCGACUCUUCCUGGUGAAGCAU
rnacentral:lncRNA from 1 species